AGCAUAUCAAUAAGCGGAGGAAAAGAAACCAACAGGGAUUGCCCUAGUAACGGCGAGUGAAGCGGCAACAGCUCAAAUUUGAAAUCUGGCGUAAGCCCGAGUUGUAAUUUGUAGAGGAUGCUUCUGGGUAGCGGCCGGUCUAAGUUCCUUGGAACAGGACGUCAUAGAGGGUGAGAAUCCCGUAUGUGACUGGCUUGCACCCUCCACGUAGCUCCUUCGACGAGUCGAGUUGUUUGGGAAUGCAGCUCUAAAUGGGAGGUAAAUUUCUUCUAAAGCUAAAUACCGGCCAGAGACCGAUAGCGCACAAGUAGAGUGAUCGAAAGAUGAAAAGCACUUUGGAAAGAGAGUUAAAAAGCACGUGAAAUUGUUGAAAGGGAAGCGCCCGCAACCAGACUUUGCGGCGGUGUUCGGCUGGUCUUCUGACCGGUUUACUCGCCGCCGUGAGGCCAUCAUCGUCUGGGACCGCUGGAUAAGACCUGAGGAAUGUAGCUCCCUUCGGGGUGUGUUAUAGCCUCUGGUGAUGCAGCGCGUCUCGGGCGAGGUCCGCGCUUCGGCAAGGAUGAUGGCGUAAUGGUUGUCGGCGGCCCGUCUUGAAACACGGACCAAGGAGUCUAACAUCUAUGCGAGUGUUCGGGUGUCAAACCCCUACGCGUAAUGAAAGUGAACGGAGGUGGGAACUUUUUGUGCACCAUCGACCGAUCCUGAUGUCCUCGGAUGGAUUUGAGUAAGAGCAUAGCUGUUGGGACCCGAAAGAUGGUGAACUAUGCCUGAAUAGGGUGAAGCCAGAGGAAACUCUGGUGGAGGCUCGCAGCGGUUCUGACGUGCAAAUCGAUCGUCAAAUUUGGGUAUAGGGGCGAAAGACUAAUCGAACCAUCUAGUAGCUGGUUCCUGC
rnacentral:rRNA from 1 species